GAAAAGAGGGAAUGUGUUAUGAAAAUAUCACUGCUAGGCCCUCAUUACUGUGUCCCUAUGCAUGGUCAGUCCCAGUUUACUAUAUCAAUUUAAUUUCCUAUUAUGGGUUAAUUUCUGGAGUUAUUUAAAUUUGUGCAGUUUAUAGGCUAAUUUUCGGUAUUCGAAUGUAUUUGAUCUAUUUCAAAUAUGACAUAGUUAAUUUGUUCCUUCCUGUUUCUUCGAGCUUCAAGUUUUGUCUGUUGUAAUCCUUUCUCCCCGUUCUUCUACCAUUCCUUUCAAUUCAUUAUCUCUUUCUUCUUCCUUUUUUUCCCAUCUUGAUUAUAGGUAUAAUGAUUUGCUGAUAUUUGUGAGUCACAUGUUGUAAUAUUUCAACACAGUUCCAAAUUAAAAUUUCUUUAGAAAAAUGUUAAGCAAAUUAAAUAUCCUAAUAGCCAUCAGUAAUGUCGCAAAUCCAUCGGUUGAACGUGAGCAAAGUGAAAUAUUUGCUAAAUCUAUUGCCAGAGAUGAGGACAUCUUGGGUGCAAUGUUGGGAGGGAUAUGCAUUUAGUGAAGCAGGCAAAAUGGCAUGAUAAAUUUACCAAAUGGUUAUGACGGUUGCGUUUCCUCUUGAGCUUUUAUAUGAAUUCUUAUUGUGCACUAAAAUUUAUGUGGUGGGAGAAAAGGAUAAACAUUCAAGAAAGAAAUAUUUCUGUAGUUGAGCGAGUUAAUUGAAGAAAUUUUCACAUCCAUGCAUAUUGACAUGAAGUGAAAUGUAAUGGGUGCCUCUAAUCAAAUCUAAGCAAUAGCCUUCAUGAUAAGGUUGCACAAUGCACUAAAGUGUAUUACUGUAAUCUUAUAUGCAAAUUACAGAAUCUAGAAGUAACAUUCUAUAUAUCCAUGAUCAUGUUUAUACCUGAUUUUCGAAGGUAACAUGAAGCUCUUGCUAUGCUGUUGUUUUCGGAAUGGCAAGAUCGACUACUAAGCUUCGCGCCGUACACAAAGAAUAAUGGCUUUGAGCAUUUUGAAGCUAAAGGCUCCGUUUAGUAGUUCAAGCAUACAUUAAAUUGGAAAACUCUGAGCUAUCCUCAUACAUGUCCAUGGUUUAGAUAUUAAUUCAGAUUCACACGUAUGUUCAUAUCCAUAUGAUUUUGAUCUUGUAAUCAAAAUCUAUCAAUGAAGAAAGGGAAAGAGAGUUCGGAAGAAGAUGAAGCUGAAUUGCGCUCAAUAUUAGAGAAGUUGGUUAUUUCAGAUUGUCAAGUGCUGAGGCUUGUUCAGUUUUGCUUCAACUUUUUGGUCAAAGGUUUUGUUGUGACACAUUGACACUCAUGAAGGAAAAAAAUUCAUAUGCUAAAUGUGUAUUAUAUUUUUUUGGAGAAAAUACAAAUGAAAAUCUCUCCUUCGUAUCUCAACAUUGCUUCCUAUUAAGGUAGCAAAAAGGGAAAUAAUGUGACGGAAAAAUUAUAUCGUAUUUUAUUCUACUCAUUUAUGAGCGUACACUUUUUGAUGCUGAAGAUGGACUGCAACUUUGGUUUGCCUGGAGAUGUUGAUUUGGAAUCGUUCAAUGAGAGACGAUUAGGACCCUCAACUGCUGAAAAGAUGAACAUUGUUUUUGCUUUGGGUGAGAUAGUUGUGUGCUUGAUGUUGCUGGGUUGAAAUUUAAUUUUAUGCUGUCUCAAUGAUUCUACUAUAUAACAACUGACAUGCGAAUAUAAACAUUCUCCACAGUUUUAAGACUCAAAUGUUUCUAUGCAUUUGUUCAAAGCUUUUGCCUUUCUUUUGUUGCAUGUCAGCAUCGCCAAUGAUUCUACUAGCCGCAUUUUGGGAUUUGGUUUUCAUAACAGCUCUGCUGUAAACUUUAACACGAAGGGAAGCUUGAUGAUCACAGUUUGGCUCAGACAAACAGAAUCGAGACUGGGUUGCAUGCUCCGUACAGUUUACUCUUUCACCACAGAAAUCCUCAGAUGUUAACUCCUAUUACUUCUCUGAGGGACACUAACUAUGGCUUCACCAUUGGGAAAGAAGCUUCGACAACCUUGAGCCUAGCUGAAAAGACCAACAUAGAUAUUUGAUAAAGUUAGAUGUUUCAGUAGUAUGUUCAGGGAAAUGAAAUCAUUUACCUAAUGUUCUUUACGUGCGGAAA